ensembl:Y_RNA Y_RNA Y RNA
GGCUGGCCCGAGUGCAGUGGUGUCUACAAUUCAUUGACCACAGUCAGUUACAGAUUUCUUUGUUCUUUCUCCACUCUACUGCUUCACUUCACUAGACUUAA